UGAAAGUGACGAGCAACAGCACUGGGCACUGAUAUUUUAUUUAUUAUUUGCACAUGAGUGACAAUGCUUUUUAGUAGGCCUAGAAAACCUACGCUACUGAUUCA
rnacentral:snoRNA from 1 species